rnacentral:lncRNA from 1 species
UAAGAAUUAUUAUUUUGAAGAAUUCUUACUUAUAAGUUUUAGAAGUAGCCAUUUUUCUUUCUGUAUUUCAGAUUUAUACUUGAAAACCUAAAGAAUAUCUAUCUAUAUAUAGAUACGGGCGAACGACCGGAAUUGAACCUGCGCAUGGUUCAAGCUAUACACCAUCUUCAUCCUAUCACUAAAAUAUGUGAGCCUAUCACCACACCACCAUCAUUUACACAUCAUAUCACCCAUUUCCCACCCAUUUCCGCAACCAUGUCCAUCAUAGGGACCAUCUCCUUGCUUCCUCCUAAGCUUUG